GUUUUAACACAUACACAUCUUCUGGAAAACGAGAAAGCCAACCAAAGUAAUGCUGAUCUGCCUCAGGAUGAUCCACUUUUUUCCAAAUAUUUUUACAAGUGCUUCCAACCAAAUAAUGAGAUGCUGAAAUUGAAGCACUUUCAUAAUGUUGUUUACCAAGGAAGAUGAUAGCAUGGAGGACAAAACAUCCCUGUUGCCGAGUUUUCCACUUUUCCAAGUUUCCUUCCUCGUUGGAGAGGUGAAAAACCUAUAAAGAAGGGACUGACGACUGGUCAGUCAGCAGUGUGUUCCACAAGGCAUCCGUUUAUGCAUUAGACACUUUGAAGGAAAUAAAAACAGCGGGCAUUUUUGAAUGGAGAAGCUACAAACCCAGGAAGAAUUCAGCCACAGUUGUGGAAAACUGCAUUUCCUCAAGGACAAUCUGUUGGGGAUUGCAUGGCACGAGCUUGAAGACCUGGCUCUGCCAGAUGACUCGGGACUCUAACAUGGAACAUCACAUUGGAGGUGGCCGUUGAAUUAAAAUAAAUUCAACAAAUAAAAAAGGUACA